rnacentral:snoRNA from 1 species
AUUUCGUGGUGAGGGCAAGCCAAGAGGUACUCUUGGAAGUGCUCCCAUGCUUCAGGGAUUGAAUCGUCUGAUGCCUGCUGGAAAUUGGUUAUCCUUCCAUGAAGGG